rnacentral:lncRNA from 1 species
GAGAGCUGCAAUCAUCUGCUGCGGAUCUUUUAUUACGUGGCAAGUUUAGAAUAACAUUUUCAAAACAUACAACUUCAAACAUCUAAGUCCUCAUGAGAUGAUACAGUACGUGGAUCUCGAGUGCAUCUGUGUUUCCCAGAGGCCCUUGCGGGACUCCUGGCCACCGGAUGGUAAGCUCUGCCUUCAGAACGGCUCUUUCCACCGUUCUGAAAUGCCCUCCCUCAUAGACACCUCAGGUGUGUUUCUCUGCUGACUCUAAAUCCAGUCAACUUGUCAAAGAUUAACCAUCAGAGGAGCAGGCUCUUCGGUGGUGACCUUUUGGGAGGAGGCCCAGCCGACCAGAGGAUGACAGCUGCGUGGCUGCCCUGCAACAAUGGACAGAACCAACUUCUCCUUUGUUUGCAAGGCACAGAUCCAAAAGAACAAUGAAUGGUGGGACACGCUUCCUUGCCCCGCAAGAAUCUGUGUGUUCUUUGUAACUCCUUUAGAGCAGGGCAGGGCAGGAUGUGUGAGGCGCCAGGAUCGAAUUUCUGCUCCAGCCAUGUUCCUGAAUCCCAGCCAGCAGACAGGAAGGAAGACAGGUAGCAACAUAUACCAACAUAUUCAGGAGCAUAUUCCUUCGUGUAGGCCUGGCCAAUAUACACAGCCAGCUGCGGCGUAACCAUCUUAAGUGUGCUAAAUUUAGCAUGUUCUCUGGACUUAAACAUGUUCACCUUGUUGUGUAAACAUUACCAGCAUCAUAUCUAGAGUCCUUUUUAAUCCUCUUGUAGUGGCUAUUCCUGAUUGUCAACUUGACUAUAUCAGGAGUGAACUACAAUCCAGAAUUGGAGGGCUCACCUGUGACCCAGAUCUUGAGGCUGGAAGACACAAGUUUCUGACCUGGAUCUUGGUAUGGAGAUCUUGAGGCAUAGUGGCCAUGAAAAGCUUAGGCCCAGGCAAAGCAGUAUACUCCUUUAAUCCCAGGAGACUGAGGCAUGGAGAUCUCUGAGUUCAAGGUCAGUCUGGGGCAAAGCAAGUUCCAAGUCCAGAUAUGGUGGCACACACCUUUAAUUUGGGCCACACCUUCUGCUGGAGACCUACAUAAAGACAUUGGAAGAAGGAAGAUUUACUCUCUCUUCUUCGCCUGCUUGUCUUGUGGACUGAACAACUACUAGACACUUGGACUUCCAUUCACAGCUGCUGCUGACCAUUGUUGGUGAGUUGGACUACAGACUGUAAGUCAUCAACACAUUCCCUUACUAUAUAGAGACUACCCAUAAGUUCUGUGACUCUAGAGAACCCUGACUAACACACCUCUCAAACAGAAACUCCGGUAAACAAUUACUCUCUCUUCAGCCCCUGACAGCCACUCUACCUUCUGUUCUUGGGAGUCUGACUACUCUAAAUCCAUGAAUGGAGUCCUGCCAACAUUUGUUGAUGGCUGGUCCUGUUCAUGGUAGUUCAUGAAUAUCAUGACAUCAGUAUUCAUUUGUCAUCUAGGCUAGGCUUCCCUUUGCUAGGCUGAGUACUAUUCCAUUGUGUAUGUGUGCGCGCGCACAAAGAUGCCCUUUGUUCCCCCAGAAGCUUCAUUAUUCCCACGUGUAAUGCACAAGGGAGGACAUUUCUCCACUUCUUACCGACCCUCGUUUUCUGGGUUGUUUUUGUUUGUUUGCUUAAAGAGUAGCCUCACGAUGAGUCUGGGAGGGCACCCCACGGUGGUUCUCAUUUGUACCUCCCUAACAGAGUGUGAUGUGAGCAUUUUGCCCUGUGCCCGUUCAUCACUGCUAGUUCAUAUUCCUGGAAAGAUAUCUGUCCGUUCAGUUCGCUUGUUCACAGUUUGAUUGAACUGUUCCGUAUGGUGUAGAAUGGACUUGAACUCCUAUCGGAUGGAGAAUUUGUACUGUGCUCUCUUUCCCAUUCUCUGAGUUGCCUUUUCCUUCUAUUGGUAAUACUGUUUGAUACACAGGUUUUUCUCAAUCUAAUCCAAUAGUCUUUCACGUGUCUGCCUUAGCAAAAUGUUCUUCCACCUGUGUGCCCCGGCAAAACAUCAUUUGACAUAACUAACUUUCCAAAGAAGCGAGAAAUUUCCAUUUCACAGGGAUCCUGCCCAGCAACUCGGGGUGGCUAACUCACAAGCUGUGCAGUUUAGUGUCUUCUGUCUUCUGUGCUUGGAAGACCGUCCUCACCUUUUCUAGCCACUCUCAUCUCACCAUCACCUCACCUGGGAAGCCUUCCUUGCUCCUCCCCAGGGAAUUAAACACGUUUUCUUUUGUUCCUUUGGGCAUUGCCAUCCAAGGACUUUGUUAGUCUUUGCUUGUUUGUUUUUUGUCUGUCUACUUUCCCAUUAAAGCUUUGAGCUCUUUGUGUG